rnacentral:rRNA from 1 species
UGGUGGAGUGAUUUGUCUGGUUAAUUCCGAUAACGAGCGAGACCUCAGCGUACUAAUUAGUUGUCAAAAUUCUUGGAUUUUGUUUACAGCUUCUUAGAGGGACUAUCGGUGUAUAGCCGAAGGAAGUUUGAGGCAAUAACA